rnacentral:rRNA from 1 species
AUUGAACGCUGGCGGCAGGCCUAACACAUGCAAGUCGGACGGUAGCACAGAGGAGCUUGCUCCUCGGGUGACGAGUGGCGGACGGGUGAGUAAUGUCUGGGGAUCUGCCCGAUAGAGGGGGAUAACCACUGGAAACGGUGGCUAAUACCGCAUAACGUCGCAAGACCAAAGUGGGGGACCUUCGGGCCUCACACUAUCGGAUGUGCCCAGAUGGGAUUAGCUAGUAGGUGGGGUAAUGGCUCACCAAGGCGACGAUCCCUAGCUGGUCUGAGAGGAGUACCGGCCACACUGGAACUGAGCCACGGUCCAGACUCCUACGGGAGGCAGCAGUGGUGAAUAUUGCACAAUGGGCGCAAGCCUGAUGCAGCCAUGCCGCGUGUAUGAAGAAGGCCUUCGGGUUGUAAAGUACUUUCAGCGGGGAGGAAGGCGGUGAAGUUAAUAGCUUCACCGAUUGACGUUACCCGCAGAAGAAGCACCGGCUAACUCCGUGCCAGCCGCCGCCGUAA